rnacentral:rRNA from 1 species
ACUGUGUGUUGUUGGGUAGGGGAGCGUUCUGUAAGCCUGUGAAGGUGUGUCGUGAGGCAUGCUGGAGGUAUCAGAAGUGCGAAUGCUGACAUAAGUAACGAUAAAGCGGGUGAAAAGCCCGCUCGCCGGAAGACCAAGGGUUCCUGUCCAACGUUAAUCGGGGCAGGGUGAGUCGACCCCUAAGGCGAGGCCGAAAGGCGUAGUCGAUGGGAAACGGGUUAAUAUUCCCGUACUUGGUGUUACUGCGAAGGGGGGACGGAGAAGGCUAUGUUGGCCGGGCGACGGUUGUCCCGGUUUAAGCGUGUAGGUGUGUGUUCCAGGUAAAUCCGGUUCACUUUAACACUGAGGCGUGACGACGAGGCACUACGGUGCUGAAGCAACAAAUGCCCUGCUUCCAGGAAAAGCCUCUAAGCAUCAGGUAACAUCAAAUCGUACCCCAAACCGACACAGGUGGUCAGGUAGAGAAUACCAAGGCGCUUGAGAGAACUCGGGUGAAGGAACUAGGCAAAAUGGUGCCGUAACUUCGGGAGAAGGCACGCUGACAUGUAGGUGAAGUGAUUUACUCAUGGAGCUGAAGUCAGUCGAAGAUACCAGCUGGCUGCAACUGUUUAUUAAAAACACAGCACUGUGCAAACACGAAAGUGGACGUAUACGGUGUGACGCCUGCCCGGUGCCGGAAGGUUAAUUGAUGGGGUCAGCGCAAGCGAAGCUCCUGAUCGAAGCCCCGGUAAACGGCGGCCGUAACUAUAACGGUCCUAAGGUAGCGAAAUUCCUUGUCGGGUAAGUUCCGACCUGCACGAAUGGCGUAAUGAUGGCCAGGCUGUCUCCACCCGAGACUCAGUGAAAUUGAACUCGCUGUGAAGAUGCAGUGUACCCGCGGCAAGACGGAAAGACCCCGUGAACCUUUACUAUAGCUUGACACUGAACAUUGAGCCUUGAUGUGUAGGAUAGGUGGGAGGCUUUGAAGUGUGGACGCCAGUCUGCAUGGAGCCGACCUUGAAAUACCACCCUUUAAUGUUUGAUGUUCUAACGUGGACCCGUUAUCCGGGUUGCGGACAGUGUCUGGUGGGUAGUUUGACUGGGGCGGUCUCCUCCUAAAGAGUAACGGAGGAGCACGAAGGUUGGCUAAUCCUGGUCGGACAUCAGGAGGUUAGUGCAAUGGCAUAAGCCAGCUUGACUGCGAGCGUGACGGCGCGAGCAGGUGCGAAAGCAGGUCAUAGUGAUCCGGUGGUUCUGAAUGGAAGGGCCAUCGCUCAACGGAUAAAAGGUACUCCGGGGAUAACAGGCUGAUACCGCCCAAGAGUUCAUAUCGACGGCGGUGUUUGGCACCUCGAUGUCGGCUCAUCACAUCCUGGGGCUGAAGUAGGUCCCAAGGGUAUGGCUGUUCGCCAUUUAAAGUGGUACGCGAGCUGGGUUUAGAACGUCGUGAGACAGUUCGGUCCCUAUCUGCCGUGGGCGCUGGAGAACUGAGGGGGGCUGCUCCUAGUAC